CUCGUAGGCGGUCCGUCGCGUCCGGUGUGAAAGUCCAUCGCUUAACGGUGGAUCCGCGCCGGGUACGGGCGGGCUUGAGUGCGGUAGGGGAGACUGGAAUUCCCGGUGUAACGGUGGAAUGUGUAGAUAUCGGGAAGAACACCAAUGGCGAAGGCAGGUCUCUGGGCCGUCACUGACGCUGAGGAGCGAAAGCGUGGGGAGCGAACA
rnacentral:rRNA from 1 species